rnacentral:rRNA from 1 species
UACCUCAAGUCAAGUAAGAAUACCCGCUGAACUUAAGCAUAUCAAUAAGCGGAGGAAAAGAAACUAACUAGGAUUCCCUUAGUAACGGCGAGUGAACUGGGAAGAGCUCAAAUUUUAAAUCACCUUGGUGAAUUGUAAUUUGAAGAAAGUGUUUUGACAUUUCAGUUUAAUCUAAAUCCUUUGGGAUGAGGUAUCACAGAGGGUGAGAAUCCCGUAUGUGAUUAGACUUCGAAAUGCAUUAAUUCACUUUCCAAGAGUCGAGUUGUUUGGGAUUGCAGCUCAAAAAGGGUGGUAAAUUUCACCUAAGGCUAAAUAUAUGCAAGAGACCGAUAGCGAACAAGUACCGUGAGGGAAAGAUGAAAAGAACUUUGAAAAGAGAGUUAAACAGUACGUGAAAUUGUUAAAAGGGAAACGAUUGAAGUCAGUCAUGCUAGUAAGGAAUCAACUUGGUGGAGUGAGUUUGGGUUUGUAAAGUAGGGUAACCACUUGCAUAUCUUUUUUCUCUCCCUUCCUUGUGUACUUUCUUUCUUGGCAAGUUAGCAUCAAUUUUAGUUGUCAUCAAAGAAUUGGGGAAAUGUGGCUUCUCUUCGGGGAAGUGUUUAUAGACCCUGAUAGAUGUGGCGGCUGGGAUUGAGGAUUGCAGCGGAUGCCUUUGGCUAGUCACUUGUCUUCUGACGGUCACCUCGCUUUUGACAGCUUGCUGAUGAUUGUGGGAUUUGACAGUUUAGAAGUUAGAGUGAACAUAAAUUCGCUAAGGAUGCUGACGUAAUGGCUUUAAACGACCCGUCUUGAAACACGGACCAAGGAGUCUAACAUAUGUGCGAGUGUUUGGGUGAUAAAACCCGGAACGCGUAAUUAAAGUGAUUCUGGUGGGAACCCUUCGGGGUGCACCAUCGACCGAUCAGGAUAUUCUUUGAUAGAUUUGAGUAAGAGCA